ACUCCAUGAAGCUGGAUUCGCUAGUAAUCGCGCAUCAGCCACGGCGCGGUGAAUACGUUCCCGGGCCUUGUACACACCGCCCGUCAAGCCAUGGAAGCCGGGAGUGCCUGAAGUACGCGACCGCAAGGAGCGUCCUAAGGUAAAACCGGUGACUGGGGCUAAGUCGUAACAAGGUAGC
rnacentral:rRNA from 1 species